AGGAAACUGACCCAGACUUUGAUCAUUGUGCAGUCUGCAUAGAGAGCUAUAAGCAGAAUGAUGUCGUCCGAAUUCUCCCCUGCAAACUACAUCUCCAAGCCCUUCAGUGAGACUUCCAUCGAGCUCACCUGGCUCUGGGUACAACAACUCCAGGGACUUGGAUUAAAUCUUUUUCUAAACCUGGAUUAUGCAAAAUGGAAAGAACUGAUACCUGCUUUGUGCCUGCUGUGGUUCAGAUGCUCUGCUCUGAGCAGACUAUACUCACUGUCUCCUAUAAUUCUCCCAGCAGUCCUAAGAGGGUGUGUUUUCCCCGUUGUACAGUGAAGGAUGGUGAGCCGAUAGCAGGUUCCAGGGUCGCACAAUUCAGAAAUGGCAGAGCUGUGUCAAGGCCUGCCUUUAAUGUGGUGCUCCCCACAUGGGACCAAGCCUUCCUCCAUGAGGAAAGGACUCGCCUGUGCCUGGUUGCCCUGGAAACAGCAUGUUGGUUUCUCCUGUGGCUCCUCUCAAGCUGGGGAGCAUGAAACUAAGAUACACAGUUCUGAGUAUCAAUUGGAUAAAUAGGAAAUCACCUGCCAAGAAGCCUAAAACCAAAGAGUUUGCCUCUUCCUCCUCCCUUCCCUUUAAAAGACAUCCACACAACUCCAGCCUUAUAAUAUGGAGCAUGUGAAUUAAUAAAAUAAUUGUGAGUUGUUAUCUC
rnacentral:lncRNA from 10 species